rnacentral:rRNA from 1 species
GGGUAAAGCACUGAUUGGACUAGGGGGCCUACCAGCCUACCAAAUCCAGCUAGCCUCUGAAUACCAGUACAGUCGAGCACGGCAGGCAGCCGGUGGCUGAUAAGGGCCAUCGACAAAAGGGUAAGAACCCGGACCGCCAGCUAAGGUCCCAAACUUAAUGCUAAGUGUCAAACGUUGUGAGGGCGCUAUGACAACCAGGAGGUUGGCUUAGAAGCAGCCAUCCUUUAAAGAAAGCGUAACAGCUCACUGGUCGAGCGAACUCGCGUGGAUAAUUUAACGGGGCUAAGCAUUAGACCGAAGCUGCGGAUGAGAUAAAUCUUCGGAUUUAUCGCGUGGUAGGGGGGCGUUCUCUAUGGGCUGAAGCAUGAGCGUAAGCACAUGUGGACUGUAGAGAAGUGAUUAUGCUGACAUAAGUAACGAUAAACCGUGGGAAGAGCACGGUCGCCGAAAUCCCAAGGGUUCCUGAGCCAGGGUCAUCCUCUCAGGGUUAGUCGGAGCCUAAGAUGAGGCCGAAAGGCGUAGUCGAUGGUAAUCAAGUUAAUAUUCUUGAACUAGUUUAUAUUUCGAUAGGAGGGACGGAGAAGGGUAAGUGUAGCCAGGCAAUGGGUCGCAAGACAACCUGGUCUAAGUGUGUAGGGUGGCAGGAUAGGCAAAUCCGUUCUGCUGUUAAACCGAGACAUGAUGGCGAAGUGCACUUGUGCACGAAGUUACUGAUCCCAGGCUUCCGAGAAAAGCUUCUAAGUUAUGAUAUAAUUUAUCCGUACCGGAAACCAACUCAGGUGGGAAGGUAGAGAAUACCAAGGCGCUUGAGAGAACCGCCGCUAAGGAACUUAGCAUAUUGCUGCCGUAACUUCGGGAGAAGGCAGGCCCUCAGUAGGUGUAGGAGUACAUCCGAAGCCGAUGGGGGUAGCAUAAAGCAGGGGGUAGCGACUGUUUACCAAAAACACAGGACUCUGCGAACACGUAAUAAGUGGAUGUAUAGGGUCUGACGCCUGCCCAGUGCCGGAAGGUUAAAGGGAUUUGUCAAUCCGUAAGGAUGAAGCAUUGAACUGAAGCCCCGGUGAACGGCGGCCGUAACUAUAACGGUCCUAAGGUAGCGAAAUUCCUUGUCGGGUAAGUUCCGACCUGCACGAAUGGCGUAACGACUUCCCCACUGUCUCGGCGGCGGACUCAGUGAAAUUGAAUUCGCAGUGAAGAUGCUGCGUACCCGCGGAAAGACGGAAAGACCCUGUGAACCUUUACUAUAGCUUGACGCUGAGCCUGGGAAAUACAUGUGUAGAAUAGGUGGGAGACUUUGAAGUUGGGACGCUAGUCCUGAUGGAGUCACAAUGUGAAAUACCACCCUUGUGUUUUCUAGGUUCUAACCUAGACGAGUGAAUCCUUGU